GACGAACCGUGCGAACGUUAUUCGGAAUCACUGGGCUUAAAGCGCGUGUAGGCGGGAGGGCACGUCCGUCGCUGAAAUCCCCCGGCUCAACCGGGGAACGGGCGCGGAUACGACCUUCCUGGAGGGGCGUAGGGGGACCUGGAACUUCCGGUGGAGCGGUGAAAUGCGUUGAGAUCGGAAGGAACGCCCGUGGCGAAAGCGAGGUCCUGGACGCCUACUGACGCUGAGACGCGAAAGCCAGGGGAGCGGAACG
rnacentral:rRNA from 1 species